rnacentral:sRNA from 1 species
AAGUCGAGCGAACUUUUAAAAGCUUGCUUUUAAAAGUUAGCGCCGGACGGGUGAGUAACACGUGGGCAACCUACCUGUAAGACUGGGAUAACUUCGGGAAACCGGAGCUAAUACCGGAUAAUUCUUUUCUACACAUGUAGAAAAGCUGAAAGACGGUUUCGGCUGUCACUUACAGAUGGGCCCGCGGCGCAUUAGCUAGUUGGUGAGGUAACGGCUCACCAAGGCCACGAUGCGUAGCCGACCUGAGAGGGUGAUCGGCCACACUGGGACUGAUUAUCGGCCCAGACUCCUACGGGAGGCAGCAGUGGG